GAAAAGAUACAAAACUUUUGUGAAUUUAGAUAUUGUACUUUUACUUCUGCACGAGUUCAAUUUUUUGCAUAUCUUUUAACUAGAAAGUAAAGAAAAUUUAACCUGUAUACUGCAGUCAUGUGGCAUAAAUUGGCACCCUUAGUAUCAUUUUUGUUUAGUUUUUUAGCAUUAGGAUGCUGGUCUCAUCAUUCUAUGUGGCAGGUUGGGGACAGUGGAUCUGCAUUUUAGGGGUUUGGUUAUAGAGAUAUGAGGUUCUACGUACUGAUAAUGUUGAGUUUUGAAAAAUGCAGAUAAAAGUACUUUUAGGCAGUAUUGGUAAAUGCAUCAAGUCAGAAAUGCAGGACUAUUGAGAACAUCUUUUAAUUGACCAUGGCACCACCAAGAUCAAGUUGAUAGAGUUGACAACUUAUUGCCUUUGCUUAAGUUUCACUUUUGACUCUAAAUUCCAGUAAAUUAAGGUCAUGAAUUUUGUAUCUAAGAGGUCUAAUGGGUUAGUGGCAUUCUUCACUAUCGGUGCUUUGAGCAUUUGCUUGCAAUUAGUGAUAAAGUGCUCCGGAU
rnacentral:lncRNA from 1 species